rnacentral:rRNA from 1 species
UGCAGUCGAACGAAGUAGCAAUACUUAGUGGCAGACGGGUGAGUAACAUGUAGGUAUCUGCCCUUUGGCCUGGAAUAACACGAGGAAACUUGUGCUAAUACCGGAUAAGUCUUUACGGAGAAAGCUUUAUGCACCAUUGGAUGAGCCUGCACUUGAUUAGUUUGUUGGUGGGGUAAUGGCCUACCAAGACUUUGAUCAAUAGCUGAUUUGAGAGGAUGAUCAGCCACAUUGGGACUGAGACACGGCCCAAACUCCUACGGGAGGCAGCAGUGGGGAAUCUUGCACAAUGGAGGAAACUCUGAUGCAGCGAUGCCGCGUGAGUGAAGAAGGCCCUUGGGUUGUAAAGCUCUUUCGUCGGGGAAGAAAAUGACUGUACCCGAAUAAGAAGGUCCGGCUAACUUCGUGCCAGCAGCCGCGGUAAUACGAAGGGACCUAGCGUAGUUCGGAAUUACUGGGCUUAAAGAGUUCGUAGGUGGUUGAAAUAGUUGGUGGUGAAAUCCCAGAGCUUAACUCUGGAACUGCCAUCAAAACUUUUCAGCUAGAGUAUGAUAGAGGAAAGCAGAAUUUCUAGUGUAGAGGUGAAAUUCGUAGAUAUUAGAAAGAAUACCAAUUGCGAAGGCAGCUUUCUGGAUCAUUACUGACACUGAGGAACGAAAGCAUGGGUAGCGAAGAGGAUUAGAUACCCUCGUAGUCCAUGCCGUAAACGAUGUGUGUUAGACGUUGGAAAUUUAUUUUCAGUGUCGCAGCGAAAGCGAUAA